GUGUUCUCUUUGGCAGCACAUAUACUGAAAUUGGAACAACACAGAGAAGAUUAGCACGGUCCCUGCGCAAGGAUGCCAUGCAAAUUCGUGAAGCGGUCCAUAUUAAA